rnacentral:lncRNA from 13 species
CUCUGCUGAAUUUUUGUUGGUUGUUUACAGGGAAUAGUCUGGAACAUCUCUACAAGAGGCAGCCUUCAAUUUGCAAAGACUCAGUAUCAGCUGCCCCUUCUAGACCUCUAAUUUCUAUGGAUAUGGAAAAUGAACCUGAAAUGUUUCUUGAGUGAUUCAAAAUCCUGAUUAAGUCCCAGAGGCCAUGAGCAGUGCUGUUCUUGAAGAGCAGAGGACGUCUGCGUCUCAGUCAGCUUUGAAUCUGCACCACCAGCACGCCUAAACAUUCGCAAAACACAAUUCCCCACUGGCUGCCACUGACUUUUUAGAGCAUAUGCAGUGCUGACUUCAGAGUGAAUU